ACGCUUGCUGCAUGCUUUAUACAUGCAAGUCGAACGAAGGCCCUAGCUUGCUAGGUGUCCUUAGUGGCGCACGGGUGAGUAACACGUGGGAACAUACCUCAUAGUACGGAAUAACUGCGGGAAACUGUAGCUAAUACCGUAUAUUCCAGAAAUGGGAAAGAUUUAUCGCUAUGAGAUUGGCCCGCGCAAGAUUAGUUUGUUGGUAAGGUAAUGGCUUACCAAGGCUACGAUCUUUAGCUGGUUUGAGAGGAUGAUCAGCCACACUGGGACUGAGACACGGCCCAGACUCCUACGGGAGGCAGCAGUAGGGAAUAUUGGACAAUGGGGGCAACCCUGAUCCAGCAAUGCAGCGUGAGUGACGAAGGCCUUAGGGUUGUAAAACUCUUUCAUCGGUGAGGAUAAUGACAGUAGCCGAAGAAGAAGGACCGGCUAAUUCCGUGCCAGCAGCCGCGGUAAUACGGAAGGUCCUAGCGUUGUUCGGAAUUACUGGGCGUAAAGCGCAUGUAGGCGGAACAGAAAGUUAGAAGUGAAAUCCCUGGGCUCAACCUAGGAAUUGCUUUUAAAACUUCUGUUCUGGAAUUCAGGAGAGGAAAAUGGAAUUUCCAGUGUAGAGGUGAAAUUCGUAGAUAUUGGAAGGAACACCAGUGGCGAAGGCGAUUUUCUGGACUGAUAUUGACGCUGAGAUGCGAAGGCAUGGGUAGCAAACGGGAUUAGAUACCCCGGUAGUCCAUGCAGUAAACGAUGGGUGCUAGUCGUCGGACUUAUGUUCGGUGUCGUAGCUAACGCGUUAAGCACCCCGCCUGGGGAGUACG
rnacentral:rRNA from 1 species